UGGGGAAUUUUGGACAAUGGGCGAAAGCCUGAUCCAGCAAUGCCGCGUGUGUGAAGAAGGCCUUCGGGUUGUAAAGCACUUUUGUCCGGAAAGAAAUCCUUGGCUCUAAUACAGUCGGGGGAUGACGGUACCGGAAGAAUAAGCACCGGCUAACUACGUGCCAGCAGCCGCGGUAAUACGUAGGGUGCAAGCGUUAAUCGGAAUUACUGGGCGUAAAGCGUGCGCAGGCGGUUUGCUAAGACCGAUGUGAAAUCCCCGGGCUCAACCUGGGAACUGCAUUGGUGACUGGCAGGCUAGAGUAUGGCAGAGGGGGGUAGAAUUCCACGUGUAGCAGUGAAAUGCGUAGAGAUGUGGAGGAAUACCGAUGGCGAAGGCAGCCCCCUGGGCCAAUACUGACGCUCAUGCACGAAAGCGUGGGGGAGCAAACAGGAUUAGAUACCCCUGGUAGUCCACGCCCUAAACGAUGUCAACUAGUUGUUGGGGAUUCAUUUCCUUAGUAACGUAGCUAACGCGUGAAGUUGACCGCCUGGGGAGUACGGUCGCAAGAUU
rnacentral:rRNA from 1 species